rnacentral:misc_RNA from 1 species
GCAGUUGCAAAGAGGGCGGAGCUGAAGAGUCUCAGUGGACUAUGGCAGCCUGAUUAUCAACAAGUAGAGUAUAAUGAUUACUUACUCUCGCAAAUUCUUCUCAACUAGUAGUUCCCUUUCGUAUAUACCAAAACAGCUUUCUCAAUACAACCCAACGCCUACUUCCAUUCCCUUUUCUCAGCUUCAACAACAGCUAAGCCUCCUAGAAUCCCACCUCGUCUCCACCCUCGAUGCCUGCACCACCCUCGCUCAAAUCAAACAAGUCCACACUCAUAUUCUCCGUAUAGGACUUGACCAGUGCUGCUAUGUCGUCACCAAACUCGUCCGAACGCUCGCCAACCUCAAUGUUCCCAUGGAGCCAUACCCUCGCUCCAUUUUUGAUCAGGUCAAGUAUCCUAAUCCGUUCCUUUACUCUGCUGUCAUUCGGGGUUAUUCAGUCCAAGGACCUUUAAGUGAAUCUAUUAGAUUGUAUGGUUUGAUGAGAAGGAAAGGUAUUGGGCCUGUGUCAUUUACGUUUUCAGCUAUUCUUAAGGCGUGUGGUGCACUGCCGGAAGUAAGUUUGGGGAAGCAGAUGCAUGCCCAGUCGAUUUUGAUUGGUGGGUUUUGCUCUGAUGUGUUCGUCCGGAAUACGUUGAUCGAUAUGUAUAUAAAAUGCGGGUUUUUGGAGUGCGGGCUUAAAGUUUUCGAUGAAAUGCCUGACAAGGAUGUGAUUUCUUGGACGGAGUUAAUUGUUGCAUAUGCAAAGCGUGGCGAUAUGGAGAUUUCACGUGAGUUGUUUGAUGGCUUGCCUGUGAAGGAUAUGAUGGCCUGGACUGCAAUGGUUACAGGUUUUGCACAGAAUGCUAGGCCAAGAGAGGCAAUAGAGUUUUUUGAGAGAAUGCAGGACGCUGGUGUUGGAACUGAUGAAGUAACUUUGGUAGGUGUUAUUUCGGCUUGUGCUCAAUUAGGUGCAGCUAAAUAUGCUGAUUGGAUUCGUGAUAUUGUUGAGAAACUUGGGCCUGUUUCUGGUCAUAGUGUUGUCUUGGGAUCAGCGUUGGUCGAUAUGUACUCAAAGUGCAUGCGUGUCGAGGAUGCUUAUAAAGUUUUUGAGGGGUUGAAGGAUAGGAACGUGUUUUCUUAUAGCUCAAUGAUUAUGGGUUUUUCCAUGCAUGGCCGUACUGAUGCUGCACUUAAAUUGUUUAAUGAAAUGGUUAAAACGGAGACAAAACCAAACAGGGUUACAUUUAUUGGGGUGCUUACUGCUUGUGUCCAUACAGGUAUGGUAGAAGAAGGUCUGUCCAUAUUUGAUUCCAUGGAGAAAUGUUAUGGUGUUAAACCAUCAGCUGAUCAUUAUACUUGCAUAGUGGAUCUGCUUGGACGAGCAGGACGGUUGAAAGAAGCUCUGGAACUUGUUAAAACAAUGCCAAUUGAGCCCCAUGGAGGAGUGUGGGGAGCACUGCUUGGAGCUUGUCGCAUCCAUGGGAAUCCUGACAUUGCUACAAUCGCAGCUAGCCAUUUGUUUGAGCUUGAACCCAAUGGUAUUGGAAACUACAUCAUCCUUUCUAACAUAUAUGCAUCAGCUGGAAGGUGGCAUGAUGUUUCAUGGGUAAGGAAAUUGAUGAGAAGGAAAGGUCUAAAGAAAAAUCCGGGAUGUAGCUGGAUUGAACCAAAGAAAGGAGUCAUUCAUGAGUUCUUUUCAGGGGAUAUGACCCAUCCCAUGUCCAGUGAGAUUAAGCGAGUACUAAUGGAUCUUCUGGAUAGAUUGGAGGCUAAUGGGUACCAACCAAAACUGAGUUCUGUGCCUUAUGAUGUGUGCGAUGAAGAAAAGAGACGUAUACUGAUGACUCAUAGUGAGAAGUUAGCUUUAGCAUUUGGAUUGAUCAGUAUGAAUCCUGGUUGCUCUAUAAGGAUUAUGAAGAACAUAAGAAUCUGUGAAGAUUGCCACUUAGUAAUGUGUGGUGCAUCUCAAAUCAUGGAGAGAGAGAUUGUUGUCAGGGAUAACAUGAGAUUCCAUCAUUUCUCUAAUGGGACAUGCUCUUGUGGUAAUUUCUGGUGACGGGGAUUUAAAUGUUCUUUAGGAUUGGAGAUUGACCACUAGAAUCCUGUCUUCACAUGGAUGGUUUGUUGCAGCCCGAUCACUUGUGUAUUGUUGCAUUUGCAUAAAAUAUCCUGCUAAUAGAUUCCUUUUAUCAAUGCAUCAGGAUUCCACUGCCCUAAUAAUGUUGCACUUGUUUCAACAAAUCAUCUGCUUGAUACUUCAUGUGGAAGAGCUUCAAUCAUUUGUGGGAGAGCUUCAAUCAUUUGUGGGAGACAAUUUGUUCUAGGUGACACGUCUCUUCCAGAUUUUGAGGCGUUGGUUCUCAAGCUUCAGCUCUGGCACACAAAUACAUGGUGUGAUGCGGUGGAAGAUCCUGAAAUAUUAUUCAGUGCAGGCAAAGAAUGUGCAUAUCAAAGUAAAUUUUGAUGCAGCAGUUGGUGUUCAAAGCAGAAGGGGAUUAGUAGCAACUAUAGCCAGAGAUCAUUUAUGCCAACCCUGUGGAUGGUUUUGCAGAAAAUACAAGGCAAUUACAGAUUCCUUAAUCUUAGAAAGCUUGGCAUGCAGAGAGGCGAUCCCCCUCGCUUUGGCGAAAGGCUUUGGUAGAGUGAUUAUUGAAGGGGAUUCCCAGGUGCUAAUCAGGGCACUGAAUGGAGACGCAUCACCGCUGGACAUUUGGAAUGUUCUUACCGAUAGUAAGAGGCUUUCAACAUCUCUUAUAGAGGUGUCUUUCUCUUUUGUUCGUAGGCAGGGCAACAGCGCUGCUCACAUAGUGAUUCAUCUUUUCUUUUGCUAUGUAGCACGGGCACGGAAAUGCCAACACAGGAAAAUGUAGAAACAGAAACGGGAAAGGGCAUUUUUAAAAUUUUAGGGAAUGAAAACGUGAAAAAUGCAUAAAUAUAAAAAAUAUAAGAAUAUAUAUAUAUAUUAAUUAGAUAAAAUAAUUAAUGAGUUUAUAACUCAAUAAUGUUAGUAUUAUAGUCAUUUUUAUAA